ensembl:misc_RNA Metazoa_SRP Metazoan signal recognition particle RNA
UCCACACUAAGAUCGGUGUCGAUAUGGUGCUCCUGGGGGAGCCCGAGAUCACCAGGUCGUCUCAGGAGGGGUGCACCGGCCCAGGUCGGAAACGGAGCAGGUCAAAGCCCCCGUAUCGAUCAGUAGUUGGAUAG